UGCAGUCGAGCGAACGGAUAAGGAGCUUGCUCCUUUGAAGUUAGCGGCGGACGGGUGAGUAACACGUGGGUAACCUACCUAUAAGACUGGAAUAACUUCGGGAAACCGGAGCUAAUGCCGGAUAACAUUUGGAACCGCAUGGUUCUAAAGUAAAAGAUGGUUUUGCUAUCACUUAUAGAUGGACCCGCGCCGUAUUAGCUAGUUGGUAAGGUAACGGCUUACCAAGGCAACGAUACGUAGCCGACCUGAGAGGGUGAUCGGCCACACUGGAACUGAGACACGGUCCAGACUCCUACGGGAGGCAGCAGUAGGGAAUCUUCCGCAAUGGACGAAAGUCUGACGGAGCAACGCCGCGUGAGUGAUGAAGGUUUUCGGAUCGUAAAACUCUGUUAUUAGGGAAGAACAAAUGUGUAAGUAACUGUGCACAUCUUGACGGUACCUAAUCAGAAAGCCACGGCUAACUACGUGCCAGCAGCCGCGGUAAUACGUAGGUGGCAAGCGUUAUCCGGAAUUAUUGGGCGUAAAGCGCGCGUAGGCGGUUUCUUAAGUCUGAUGUGAAAGCCCACGGCUCAACCGUGGAGGGUCAUUGGAAACUGGGAAACUUGAGUACAGAAGAGGAAAGUGGAAUUCCAUGUGUAGCGGUGAAAUGCGCAGAGAUAUGGAGGAACACCAGUGGCGAAGGCGACUUUCUGGUCUGUAACUGACGCUGAUGUGCG
rnacentral:rRNA from 1 species